CCUACGGGAGGCAGCAGUGAGGAAUAUUGGUCAAUGGGCUUACGCCUGAACCAGCCAAGUCGCGUGAGGGAAGACUGCCCUAUGGGUUGUAAACCUCUUUUGUCAGGGAGCAACGCCGGCUACGUGUAGCCGGACUGAGAGUACCUGAAGAAAAAGCAUCGGCUAACUCCGUGCCAGCAGCCGCGGUAAUACGGAGGAUGCGAGCGUUAUCCGGAUUUAUUGGGGUUAAAGGGUGCGUAGGCGGAAUGCCAAGUCAGCGGUAAAAUCGCGGGGCUCAACGCCGCUCCGCCGUUGAAACUGGGCUUCUUGAGUGGGCGAGAGGUAUGCGGAAGUCGUGGUGUAGCGGUGAAAUGCGUAGAUAUUACGCAGAACUCCGGUUGCGAAGGCGGCAUGCCGGAGCCCAACUGACGGUGAAGCGCGAAAGCGUGGGGAUCGAACAGGAUUAGAUACCCGGGUAGUC
rnacentral:rRNA from 1 species